UCUCCGUAGGUGAACCUGCGGAGGGAUCAUUACAGAGUUCAUACCCUACCGGGUAGAUCUCCCACCCUAUGUUAUUAUUACUUUGUUGCUUUGGUGGGCCGUUAGGCUCCGGCCCGACUACCGGCCCCGGCUGGUAAGCGCCCGCCAGAGGACCCAAAACCCUGAAUAUUAGUGUCGUCUGAGUACUAUAUAAUAGUUAAAACUUUCAACAACGGAUCUCUUGGUUCUG
rnacentral:misc_RNA from 1 species